AUGACACCUUUGAUACUCAUGUAUGAGAAAGAAAUUUCACUCAUCGAGUUUCUUUAUUUGACUUUAUGCUGUUCAGGAGGGGAGGCCAGAAGGCGGGCCGGCCGGCAGCGGCAUUCUGUUCGGGGAUGCGUGGAUCUGGUGAUGCUAGUGCAGGGGAACGGGAAACAUCACCUCCGCCAAGGAAUUUCACAUAGCCAAUUUACCUUUCUCCCUAAAGAUUUUUUACUCUGCUAUCAGUACCACUGGUCUUGGGGUUUAGAUUUUGUCAAUAUCAAAAUUUGGGUACUUACCAGCAAACGAGUUGUUGAUCUAUUUACUUAG
rnacentral:rRNA from 1 species